rnacentral:rRNA from 1 species
UCGAACGAUGAAGCAUUCUUCGGAAUGCGGAAGAGUGGCGAACGGGUGAGGAACACGUAAGAAUCUGCCCCUCGGUCGGGGACAACUCUUGGAAACGAGAGCUAAUACCCGAUACGCUGUGGAGUGAAAGAAUUUCGCCGAGGGAUGAUCUUGCGUCUGAUUAGCUAGUUGGUGUGGUAAAGGCAUACCAAGGCGACGAUCAGUAGCUGGUCUGAGAGGAUGAUCAGCCACAUUGGGACUGAGACACGGUCCAGACUCC